rnacentral:rRNA from 1 species
ACUAUUGCACCAUGGUGGGAACUCUGAUGCAGCAACGCCGCGUUAGUGCAGAAGGAUUUCGAAUCAUCAAACUCUGUCAUUGGUGAAGAAUAAAUGACGGUACCCAAUGAGGAAGCCCCGGCAAACUACGUGACAGCAGCCGCGGUAAUACGUAGGGGGCGAGCGUUGUCCGGAAUUACUGGGCGUAAAGGGUACGUAGGCGGCUAUAUAAGUCAGGUGUGAAAUACCAGUGCUUAACACUGGAAUUGCAUUUGAAACUGUGUAGCUUGAGUGCAGGAGAGGAAAGUGGAAUUCCUAGUGUAGCGGUGAAAUGCGUAGAGAUUAGGAGGAACACCAGUGGCGAAGGCGACUUUCUGGACUGUAACUGACGCUGAGGUGCGAAAGCGUGGGGAGCAAACA